rnacentral:rRNA from 1 species
GACGAACGCUGGCGGCGGGCUUAACACAUGAAAGUCGAACGGAGUGGCGGAUGGCGGAGUAAAACGUGGGUGACCUGCCCUGCACUUCGGGAUAAGCCUGGGAAACUGGGUCUAAUACCGGAUAGUGGGGGAUGGGCCCGCGGCCUAUCAGCUUGUUGGGGGGGUAAUGGCCUACCAAGGGGGGGACGGGUAGCCGGCCUGAGAGGGUGGACGGCCACAUUGUGACUGUGACACGGCCCAGGCUCCUACGGGAGGCAGCAGUGAGGAAUAUUGCACCAGGGGCGGAAGCCUGAUGCCGCGUCGCCGCGUGGGGGAGGUCGGCCUUCGGGUUGUAAACUCCUUUCACCAUCGACGCGGUAGAUGGAGAAGAAGCACCGGCUAACUACGUGCCAGCAGCCGCGGUAAUUC